UUUGCGUCGUGGAUCCUGUCCAGAAUCCUUUGUGUCCUUGCGGAUGCCAACUGUUCAGCUUUGCAUGACAAAUCCAUUUCAGCUAUCAUUUCCUUGCUGCAGCUGGUAAAGGGAAAGGACCUGGUUUUCUACAAGGAGCUGUUAUCUGAAUUUGUUUCUCUGUUGGAUGAUUUAGCAACUGUAGAUAAAUGUCUUUUCCAUUUGGGUCACCCCCCUGACAAUGCAUUACCACUUUACUUCGGACACUUCCAGUUUAACAACACUAUGGAUG